AUGGUCUCUUUGUGUGUGAGUGCAGGAGGGAACAAGGGAGAGAGAGAGGGAGAGAGAGAGAAGACGAGAAGACAGAGCUGGUGGGCUCCAGCAGGGGUCCAGGGGUCCCCGUACAGUCACAGGAUACCUCCCCCUUCCCCGCCCCUCAAACACCAUCCUGAGCCCGGGUCCAGGGCUGGCCUCGCUGUGAUGGGGUCUCCUCCACUCUCCUGUGAGGUGAGAGCACUGGCACCCACCGGCACACACGGAGGACUCAAGGAGGGCGUGGAAAUCAAGGCCAAAACAAAGCAACAAACAAAAAGAGGACGAAACCCACAGCGUGCCCCGGUCUUUUUGUUUUCCCCUUCUUUGCAUUUGCUUUUCCGUUUACCUCCCCCUCCCCUCUUUUCCUCCCCUCGGUUCUGUGCUUGUUUGUUUCCCUUGGGCCUCUCUUCAUUCCUUUCUCUCUUUCUUUCCGUUCAAACGGAGGGGCCGCGGGCCCAUCCGGAUUCUGGGGCGGAGGUCCCCGAGUCCCCCCACUUUUCCGGGGAGUUUUGCGAGCCGCGGUGCAGCCCAGGCCGGCAUCCCCGGGCGCGCGCCGCGCGCUCCCGCCAGCCGCGCGGACACAAAGCGCCACCGGGACCGCCUCCGCCCGCCCCGCCCCCGCCGCCCCGGGCUCCGGCCGCGGCCCCAUUGGCUGGGAGCCCCUGGGGGCGGGGAAGGGGCGUGGCCUCGGCGGACCCGCCCGAGGACCACGCCCCCUCCCCAGUUUCUCGGCCCCGGCAGUCGGAGCGGAGCAGCUGGCGGAGCGGAGCGGAGCGCCAGGUAGGGAGCUUCCCCGGGGCCCCGGGAGGGCUGGGGUGGGGCGCGCCCGCCCCGAGGCCCCGGGCGCCGCCGCGAUGGGACCUCGGCCUCCUCUGCCGCCGCUGUCCCCCUUCGAUCCCCUCGUGCAGGGUCCUCCGGCUCGCGGGCUGGGUCUCUAGGCCCCUAGGAGAUGCGCGGGCCGCGGUGGCCUGUUUGGAGAGAGCGGGUUACUCAUCCCCCGGGGAGGGGUGGGUGUGGCCGCGGCGGGAGGGAUUUGGGGCGGACGUCGGGCACUUCCCGCCCGGCCACCUGUUUUCUGCGUGCAGGCGCAGCCUCCCCUCCUCCUCGUCCCCCUCGUCCCCCUCCCCACGCCUUCCCUGGGGGCUGGAGCGUGAAUGGGGUGACCGUGGUGCGGCGGGCCAGGCGCGGGGGGCGCCGCUCGGGGAGGUGGGGCCAGCCCCCUCGCCAGGCCGGGCCGCGCCAGCUGUGGGCCGGGUGCUGGGAGCGCGGCCAGGCCCGGCGGGGAGGUGGGGGCCGUCCCGGCGCCGCGCGAUUGGCCGCAUCUGGGGGAGGAGGAGCCGCCGGGCGCCCGCCGAGUGUCUGCGCCCGGAUGGGGGGCCCCUAGGCGGAGCCGAAAAACUUCACCCGCGCCCACGGGCUCCCUCCCUGCCGGCCCCGCUGGCAGCCCAAGUUUGCAGGCCGGAAGUGCAACGUUCUUUUUUGAUUUUUUAA
rnacentral:lncRNA from 1 species